GUGUGUGUGUGUGUGUGUGUGGCUCAACCAGGAGACAAGGCAGACAGGGGUGGGGAAGCAAGCAGCGUGGAGGCCCGUGUAGAAGGACCCUGGUGCUAUCCUCUGGCCUGCCAUCUCCCAGCAGGUGGAACCUCCUAAUUUCCUUAGAGUACAAGUCUGCCCACCCGAACGCCAGGCCUCACUCCCUCCAUGGCUCCCCAGUGCCCUCAGGAGAAAGUUGUAUUUCCCACCAGGUCCCACGGUGCUUCUUCAUAAGGAUGCCUUGUUUCUUCCUCCCAUGCCUCUGCCUUGUAUUCCAGCCUCUUUAGGACUUCCCCCCUUCUUGCCUCUAUCCCAUCUCCUGCCGGUGUUCCCUCCUCCUGGGCCUCACUACUGUUCUCAGUUCCUGAACUUCCCCAUCAAAGCCCUGAGCACACAGCAGGCACUCAAUAAAUACUCAGCAGAAUGCUCUACACCUGUCGAGUAACUUCCUGGGUAUGGCCACGGUUCAGGCUGGGAAAUGGGGUCACCCCUGCUGAAGCAACACCCUCUGACAGCUGGCCUGUCACCCGGCUUUCUGAAGGAUCUGGAAACACAUCUUGUCUACAUGGGAAGAUGAUGGAUGAGCUGCUAUUCAUGUCUCCUAAGUAACAUGCCCCUGGAUUUUAAUGUUGGCACCCAACUCAAAAACUAGUUUUUAAAAAUAGAGUUUUGCAAAAUACCUCUGAGGACCUGUUCAGACCCCCAGUGUGCUCCCCCAGCUCCAGAACAAAGAAGCGGGACACCCAGAAUUAUUAUACAAUUCUGUAUUUAGCGACUUGUUUACAGAAUGUGUUCCUUUUUUUUAAAAUUUUAAACAAAGUUCAUCAAUCUCUCAUAGAAACAGUUUUGUGGGGUUUUGUGGGUGUUGUUUUUACCGUUGCAGGACGUGAACCAGACAGAGCUGAUCACGGGUCUGCCAGCUUUGAGUACGACAGGAUUUCUGUGUUCAGAAGACUAAGUGCUUAAUCAAAUCCCGUCACACUAAAGCCAACGUGAGUUCUCUAAGGAUCAGAAUCCUGGAUUUCAACGUUGCGUUGGUUCCGAGAGUAAAAAGUGGUGUGUUUCCCCAGUGUCUAGUGCAACAGGGCGGUGGUGGCUACGCGAUGUUUCAUUUGUCCCAGAUUGGAGUACUCUGAAAACUGGUCUCUGUUUCCUAUUGUCAAAAUAUAAAAAUACCUUCAUCUGGAUAAAAAUGUAUACAGUGGAAAACUCUUCAGUGCAUAGCCUGGGUGUGCGGAGGGCAAGGCCCUCCUCCGGGGGUGUGUCAACGUUGACUGGUGUGGGACUGCAGCCUGGGCUGGGUGCACUGGAGUUGGGAUUUCUGAGACGGUCUUCAGUUGUCCCUUUCUGGUUGCUGGGUUUUGCCUGUGGUUUCAAAAUACUCACCACAUGUGUCUGCCAUCUCUCCCCUUGGCACUGACUUGGCACCAGUUACAGUCACUUUUUUGUUACCAUUCCGGGGAGUCACCCAAUUUAGCCUUCCCACAGUUUGGAAAACGUAAAGUAAAAUGGAGAGCUUAACCACCACCUUGGAGGCUGCUCCAUUCUGAUGGGGAGCUCUCUCCCUAGACACACGAAGAAAUGUGCAGGAAAGGCUCCCCUGAGUUGGGGCUGAGUCUUGGCUCCCAGUAGUCAUGCGCUGGAAAGAAGGGUGGCCUUGGAGACUGGGGUACGUGGACAUGCUGUUCUGAACUCAGCCUUCCAGACGCAGCACCGGGGUCAGCUUGAGAAGGUGAUGACCAGGUCCGCAGGGGUCUCUAGUGGGUGAAUCUGCUUUGGCACUGGCUGCUGAGCUUUCCUGCAUGUGGGAUAACCGCACUGUCCCUCUGAGAGCACGAGGAGGGAGGAUGCAGCCAGUCUUCUCUGGAAUGCCCAGUGGGGAAACUUGCUGGGUGUGGCCAUGAUUCAGGCUGGGAAUAGGGGUCACUCUGGCUGAAGCACCAUCUCAGAGCACCUGCCCCGACACCCAGCUUUCUGAAGGAUCUGGAAACACAUCUUUUCUACAGAUGGGCAUGAUGGGUUCCUAACCAGGGAGUAUAACAGUUUGCUUUGUACCAUGCCACCUCUAGUCUAGGACGCUGGGCCACGGCCCACAUCUCUAUGACAUUUACAACAGCACGGGACACUCUGUGUUAUCAAGGUUGCAGAACAGACUACCAGAAUGGAACACAUCCUCAACGGCAUCGAGGUGUUCGUUUAGAGUCUUUUGGACUUUCUCCCUUCAGCACGGCUUCCGGACAGGCAAUGGCAACGUGCUGUGUCUCACAGACAGGCGUGGGGAAAACCGUGGUUCAAAGGUUAUUUAAAUUUGGUCAGUCUUAUAGUGUUUACUGAUGGCUUUGAACAAUUGUCUUCUUUUAAUCUCAUCUAGUGGCAAAAAAACGACACAACUUCCAUGUAUACUUCGCAACAGUUGUGACAGCAUCCUGAUUUCAUAACUCUCUGUAAUAUCAAAACAGCAUCGGCUGGGAAUAAAUUCCAAAGGAUCCUUUAUUAAAAUAUCUAAAAGAGGUC